rnacentral:lncRNA from 1 species
CUUAAUUUAAAAUUUUUCAUUUGUUUCUUAUGGAACAAUAUUAUCAUAAAAAUUCAAAAACAUUAUAUGUUUAUAAAAUUUAAAAGGGCCGGGUGAGGAUGUUGGUGAUGUCGGCGGUAUUUCUGGGCUGGUUGUUGAUGUGGCGGUGGCUGAGCCAGCUCAGGUAGAGGUCGAUGUCAUUGAGGUUCCUGAAGUCGGCGCUGCUGAAGGUUGUUCAUAGAUUCAACUUUAAUUACUAUCUAUCAAGUUACUAUUAAGUCCUCUUUCAGAUCUGUUUUUUUUUUUUGUUUAUUCUUUGUUUCUAGCUUAGAAUUCUAUUCAAUCAUAACAUUAUUCUUUUCAAUCAUAACAUUACUUUAUUCACUAUAUUAUUUGACUUAAAUGACCUUAGUUGGUCUUGAGGGGGUUUUGGCACUGGUUCUCUCCCCCUUGGGGUGUGGAGUAGCCACUGCAAGAGCACUCAUGGUCGUGUCCGUGAACUUUGUGGCCACCUUGUUGUGUUCGGUGUCGGCGGCGUUUCUGGGCCAGUUGUUGAUGUAGCGGUGGCUGAGCCAGCUCAGGUAGAGGUCGAUGUCGUUGAGAGUUCCUGAAGUCGGCGCUGCUGAAGGUUGUUCGUAGAUUCAACUUUAUUUAUUAUCUAUCAAGUUACUAUUAAGUCAUCUUUCAGAUCUGUUUUUUCUUUGUUUGUUCUUUGUCGUGUCUUUGUUUCUAGUGUCGAUGUCGUUUCUCCGGUUAAAUGCCCUUUUACAGAAUGGUAAUCAAUGAAAAUGUUUUUAUUAAAAUAUCUCCUCUAUC